UCCAGACUCCUACGGGAGGCAGCAGUGGGGAAUAUUGGGCAAUGGGCGCAAGCCUGAACCAGCCAAGUCGCGUGAGGGAUGACGGCCCUACGGGUUGUAAACCUCUUUUGCCGGGGAGCAACGAGCGGGACGCGUCCCGCCUCGAGAGUACCCGGAGAAAAAGCAUCGGCUAACUCCGUGCCAGCAGCCGCGGUAAUACGGAGGAUGCGAGCGUUAUCCGGAUUUAUUGGGUUUAAAGGGUGCGUAGGCGGGUAGUCAAGUCAGCGGUGAAAGGCCGGGGCUCACCCCCGGCCUGCCGUUGAAACUGGCGGCCUCGAGUGGGCGAGAAGUAUGCGGAAUGCGUGGUGUAGCGGUGAAAUGCAUAGAUAUCACGCAGAACUCCGAUUGCGAAGGCAGCAUACCGGCGCCCUACUGACGCUGAGGCACGAAAGCGUGGGUAUCGAACAGGAUUAGAUACCCGCGUAC
rnacentral:rRNA from 1 species